rnacentral:lncRNA from 1 species
UAGGCUGGUAUAGUUGGUAUAGUACUCUAGGCUGGUAUAGUGGAUAUAGUACACUAGGCUGGUAUAGUGGGUAUAGUACACUAGGCUGGUAUAGUGGGUAUAGUACACUGGGCUGGUAUAGUGGGUAUAGUACACUAGGCUGGUAUAAUGGGUAUAGUACACUAGGCUGGUACGGUAAACUAGGCUGGUAUAGUGGGUAUCGUACACUAGGCUGGUAUAGUGGGUAUAGUACACUGGGCUGGUAUAGUAAACUAGGCUGGUAUAGUAAACUAGACUCGUAUAGCACACUAGGCUGGUAUAGUGGUUAUAGUACACUAGGCUGGUAUAGUAAACUAGGCUGGUAUAGUGGGUAUAGUACACUAGGCUGGAAUAGUGGGUAUAGUACACUAGGCUAGUAUAGUGGGUAUAGUACACUAGGCUGGUAUAGUACACUAGGCUGGUUUAGUAAACUAAACUGGUAUAGUACACUAGGCUGGUAUAGUCGGUAUUGUACACUAGGCUGGUAUAGUAUACUAGGCUGGUAUAGUAAACUAUGCUGGUGUAGUAAACUAGGCUGGUAUAGUGGGUAUAGUACACUAGGCUGGUCUAGUGGGUAUAGUACACUAGGCUGGUAUUGUAAACUAGGCUGGUAUAGUGGAUAUAGCACAUUAUGCUUAUAUAGUACACUAGGCUGGUAUUGUGGGUGAAGUACACUGGGCUGGUUUCGUGGGUAUUGUAGACUUGGCUGGUUUAGUGGGUAUAUUACACUAGGUUGGUAUAGUGGGUAUUGUACACUAGGCUGGUAUAGUGGGUAUAGUACACAAGGCUGGUAUAGUACGCUUG